rnacentral:lncRNA from 1 species
GCUACGUGAGGCCUAUACCUGCCGAUCACUACUCCGACACAGCGUCUGCUGUUUGCCCUGGCAGUACGCAGACAAGACAGUAGGACGAUCAGCUUAACACAGAUGUCGGACGUGUCACAUACAGCGCUUAAAAGCCAGAAGGGACACUCACACACAUAAUGUGGAAAUGCACCUCGCUCCUCAUCCCCCGGUCGGCAGCGAGACUGACUGGACCGCCUGGCUGAGGGCCGGGGACGUCGACCGACAGCUUGUACUGGUAGACUGGGCGGAGAAGACCAAGCCGGCCCAGGUCCUUACUUGAGCCCGAUCCCUCAGCCACCUCCCCCCUUCUCCCUCUCCCUUUCAAUAAACUUCAUCACCACC